AUAUACACACCAUUCCCACGUUACUCUCUAUCUAUAUAUUAUAUACACACCGUUCCCACGUUACUCUCUAUAUAUUAUAUACACACCAUUCCCACGUUACUCUCUAUAUAUUAUAUACACACCAUUCCCACGUUACUCUAUCUAUACAUUAUAUACACACACCAUUCCCACGUUACUCUCUAUCUACAUAUUAUAUACACACCAUUCCACGUUACUCUCUAUCUAUUUAUUAUACACACACACCAUUCCCACGUUACUCUAUCUAUACAUUAUAUACACACCAUUCCCACGUUACUCUCUAUCUAUACA